GUUUGCGUAGCUUAAAUAGAGCAUGACACUGAAGAUGUUAAGAUGGCCCCUAGAAAGGCCCGGAAACA
rnacentral:tRNA from 1 species